AUGGCGUAGUGGAGUAGUGUCCACCCCUGCCUUCUACGCCGAGGGUCGUGGGUUCGAUUCCCACCAGACAUA